UACGGAGGGUGCAAGCGUUACUCGGAAUCACUGGGCGUAAAGAGCGCGUAGGCGGGAUAGCAAGUCAGCGGUAAAAUCGUGGAGCUCAACUCCAUCCAGCCGUUGAAACUGAUGAUCUUGAGUGGGCGAGAAGUAUGCGGAAUGCGUGGUGUAGCGGUGAAAUGCAUAGAUAUCACGCAGAACUCCGAUUGCGAAGGCAGCAUACCGGCGCCCGACUGACGCUGAAGCACGAAAGCGUGGGUAUCGAACAGG
rnacentral:rRNA from 1 species